CUUGAUCGAGCCGAGGCGCACCGGCCGGUCCGCGGGACGGUCCCGGCCGUACGUGGCGAGCAGCGCGUUCGCCUC
rnacentral:antisense_RNA from 1 species